rnacentral:lncRNA from 1 species
ACCACAUUAUACUCUAACAUCAUUCAAUCAUCAAUUAAAGCAACUACAUUCAAUUAUAAACUACAUGCAAUCAUAAAAAAUUCAAUUCCUACAUCAACCCUAACCAUAUGAAAACUACCAUUUUUUUUUUAAAAAAAAACCUACACAAACUAACAUUAUGAUUAAAAAUGAGUCAAGAUACUUACUUGUGAUUAAAUGGAG